rnacentral:rRNA from 1 species
UACGUAGGGUGCAAGCGUUAAUCGGAAUUACUGGGCGUAAAGCGUGCGCAGGCGGUUUGUGACGACAGUAUGUGAAAUCCCCGGGCUCAACCUGGGAAUUGCGAUGGAGACUGCAAGGCUAGAAUCUGGCAGAGGGGGGUAGAAUUCCACGUGUAGCAGUGAAAUGCGUAGAGAUGUGGAGGAACACCGAUGGCGAAGGCAGCCCCCUGGGUCAAGAUUGACGCUCAUGCACGAAAGCGUGGGGAGCAAACAGG